GGCUAUUAUGACGUAGAAAAAUUAUCCAUCAUAAUAGGUUGUAUCAGUGGCAAAUUCGUAAUAAAAGUAAGAUAUUUAAGACCUAUUAUGACGUAAUUUUGUAGAUCAGUCAUAAUAUAAAAAUACGGUGGCAAACUUGUAAAUAAGUUAAAAGAUAUUAUUACGUAGAUAGAUUUACGUUAUAAUAUGUUAAUAUUUGUACCUCACAAAUUUUCUCUCUUUCACGUACUCUCAGACUUUGGGUCCUCUCAUCUGUUCACUCUCACACUCUCGAUGCUCUCUUCCUCUCUAAACUCUCGAUCCUCCACACCGUGCUUUUCACACUCCUCCUCUGCGACGCGCUAGGGGCCGCCAUUUUCUCGUCUCCUCCACCAACGCCCACCACGCCGUGCUUUUGUUGCUCUGAGAACAUUCUUCCUCUGCGAAGCCCUAGGGUCCGCCAUUUUCUCGUCUCCUCCACCAACGCCCACCACACUAUGCUUUUCUUGCUCUGAAAACACUCCUCCUCUGCGACGCGCUAGGGGCGACCGUUUUCUCGUACUAAAAUAUAUAUUAUGACGUACUAAACAAUGUACGUCAUAAUAUGUUAGUUUCUGAAAACCACAUAUUAUAACGUAUCAAAACAUCUACGUCAUAAUAUCUUUCGCGCAUAUUAUGACUGAUUUCAGAAACUACGUCAUAAUAUGUUCAAGCUAUUAUGACGUAAAUUUCUACUACGUCAUAAAAUGCGCAGACUUAUUAUGACGCCCAGAACUAUCUCCCCC
rnacentral:lncRNA from 1 species